GACGUAGGGCGCGAGCGUUGUCCGGAUUUAUUGGGCGUAAAGAGCUCGUAGGCGGCUUGUCGCGUCGUUCGUGAAAACCUGCAGCUCAACUGCAGGCUUGCGGUCGAUACGGGCAGGCUAGAGUUCGGUAGGGGAGACUGGAAUUCCUGGUGUAGCGGUGAAAUGCGCAGAUAUCAGGAGGAACACCGGUGGCGAAGGCGGGUCUCUGGGCCGAUACUGACGC
rnacentral:rRNA from 1 species